UCUACUCAAGAAGCCAUUAUCUGUCUGGAACAGUACAGGCAAAUGGUUUGAUCUUAAGAAUUCCAACUUACAGGUUGCCCAUUUAAAUUAUACAAAAAUGGGUCAUGGUUUGUGGGAUGAUGAGCAUACCAUCUUGAGUAUCCAAAAAAACAAUGGGCCUAACAUUAUCCAAAAAAGAAUUAGAAGAAGAAUGCUAUCUAAUCUUAGAGAUAGUCCUAUCCUUUAGCAUGAAAAGACUAUUCAAGCCUUGAGCCAGCAACCUCUUAGCUGGUCAGUUUUCAGUCCAGAACUCUUACAUUGCACUUGACAUUGUCCCCUAUGAAGAUCUAGCAUCCAAAUUUAGAAAUAACUAGUUUUAAAAGAAAAGAAGUGAUGCACUAAGGUUAACAAUAUGAAUAC
rnacentral:misc_RNA from 1 species